UACGGGGGGGGCAAGCGUUGUUCGGAAUUACUGGGCGUAAAGGGCUCGUAGGCGGCCAACUCAGUCGGACGUGAAAUCCCCAGGCUUAACCUGGGAACUGCAUCCGAUACUGGAUGGCUUGAAUCCGGGAGAGGGAUGCAGAAUUCCAGGUGUAGCGGUGAAAUGCGUAGAUAUCUGGAGGAAUACCGGUGGCGAAGGCGGCAUCCUGGACCGGCAUUGACGCUGAGUGAGCGAAAGCCAGGGGAGCAAACGGG
rnacentral:rRNA from 1 species